GUGUCAGCAGCCGCGGUAAGACAGAGGAGCCAAGCGUUGUCCGGAGUAACUGGGCGUAAAGCGCACGCAGGCGGUCGUGCACGUGGGGUGUGAAAGCUCUUGGCUUAACUGAGAGAGGCCACCUCAUACGGCGCGGCUCGAGCGCUGCAGAGGUCCACGGAAUUGCCGGUGUAGUGGUGAAAUGCGUAGAGAUCGGCAGGAACACCCAGGGGGAAACCAGUGGACUGGGCAGUGUCUGACGCUCAGGUGCGAAAGCGUGGGGAGCGAACCGGAUUAGAAACCCUCGUAGUCC
rnacentral:rRNA from 1 species